rnacentral:rRNA from 1 species
GAUGAACGCUAGCUACAGGCUUAACACAUGCAAGUCGAGGGGAAACGAUAUUGGAAGCUUGCUUCCGAUAGGCGUCGACCGGCGCACGGGUGAGUAACGCGUAUCCAACCUGCCCACCACUUGGGGAUAACCUUGCGAAAGUGAGACUAAUACCCAAUGACGUCCAUAGAAGACAUCUGAAAUGGAUUAAAGAUUUAUCGGUGAUGGAUGGGGAUGCGUCUGAUUAGCUUGUUGGCGGGGUAACGGCCCACCAAGGCGACGAUCAGUAGGGGUUCUGAGAGGAAGGUCCCCCACAUUGGAACUGAGACACGGUCCAAACUCCUACGGGAGGCAGCAGUGAGGAAUAUUGGUCAAUGGGCGAGAGCCUGAACCAGCCAAGUAGCGUGCAGGAUGACGGCCCUAUGGGUUGUAAACUGCUUUUGUAAGGGAAUAAAGUGAGUCUCGUGAGGCUUUUUGCAUGUACCUUAUGAAUAAGGACCGGCUAAUUCCGUGCCAGCCGCCGCAGUAA